UUGUGGUUGAAAUGAUAUGAAGAACUUGUUCAGAUUUGAUUUUCAACAUUGCAAUGAGUGGCGAACGGGUGAGUAACACGUGGGAAACCUACCUCUUAGCAGGGGAUAACAUUUGGAAACAAAUGCUAAUACCGUAUAAUAAUUAAAACCGCAUGGUUUUAGUUUAAAAGAUGGUCUUGCUAUCACUAAGAGAUGGUCCCGCGGUGUAUUAGUUAGUUGGUGAGGUAAUGGCUCACCAAGACAAUGAUACAUAGCCGAGUUGAGAGACUGACCGGCCACAAUGGGACUGAGACACGGCCCAUACUCCUACGGGAGGCAGCAGUAGGGAAUCUUCCACAAUGGACGAAAGUCUGAUGGAGCAACGCCGCGUGUGUGAUGAAGGGUUUCGGCUCGUAAAACACUGUUGUAAGAGAAGAAUGACAUUGA
rnacentral:rRNA from 1 species